AUUGAACGCUGGCGGCAUGCUUUACACAUGCAAGUCGAACGGCAGCGCGGGCUUCGGCCUGGCGGCGAGUGGCGAACGGGUGAGUAAUACAUCGGAACGUGCCCAGUAGUGGGGGAUAGCUCGGCGAAAGCCGGAUUAAUACCGCAUACGACCUGAGGGUGAAAGCGGGGGAGCUUCGGACCUCGCGCUAUGGGAGCGGCCGAUGGCAGAUUAGCUAGUUGGUGGGGUAAAGGCCUACCAAGGCGACGAUCUGUAGCUGGUCUGAGAGGACGACCAGCCACACUGGGACUGAGACAGGGACCAGACUCCUACGGGAGGGAGCAGUGGGGAAUUUUGGACAAUGGGCGAAAGCCUGAUCCAGCAAUGCCGCGUGUGUGGUGAAGGCCUUCGGGUUGUAAAGCACUUUUGGCGGGAACGAAAAGGACUGUGCCAAUACCACGGUUCGAUGACGGUACCCGCAGAAUAAGCACCGGCUAACUACGUG
rnacentral:rRNA from 1 species